rnacentral:rRNA from 1 species
GGCGUAGCAAUACGUCAGCGGCAGACGGGUGAGUAACGCGUGGGAACAUACCUUUUGGUUCGGAACAACACAGGGAAACUUGUGCUAAUACCGGAUAAGCCCUUACGGGGAAAGAUUUAUCGCCGAAAGAUUGGCCCGCGUCUGAUUAGCUAGUUGGUGAGGUAACGGCUCACCAAGGCGACGAUCAGUAGCUGGUCUGAGAGGAUGAUCAGCCACAUUGGGACUGAGACACGGCCCAAACUCCUACGGGAGGCAGCAGUGGGGAAUAUUGGACAAUGGGCGCAAGCCUGAUCCAGCCAUGCCGCGUGAGUGAUGAAGGCCCUAGGGUUGUAAAGCUCUUUUGUGCGGGAAGAUAAUGACGGUACCGCAAGAAUAAGCCCCGGCUAACUUCGUGCCAGCAGCCGCGGUAAUACGAAGGGGGCUAGCGUUGCUCGGAAUCACUGGGCGUAAAGGGUGCGUAGGCGGGUCUUUAAGUCAGGGGUGAAAUCCUGGAGCUCAACUCCAGAACUGCCUUUGAUACUGAAGAUCUUGAGUUCGGGAGAGGUGAGUGGAACUGCGAGUGUAGAGGUGAAAUUCGUAGAUAUUCGCAAGAACACCAGUGGCGAAGGCGGCUCACUGGCCCGAUACUGACGCUGAGC